GUGAGGAAUUUUCCGCAAUGGGCGAAAGCCUGACGGAGCAAUGCCGCGUGAAGGAUGAAGGCCUAUGGGUUGUAAACUUCUUUUCUCAGAAAAGAAUUAUGACGGUAUCUGAGGUAUAAGCAUCGGCUAACUCUGUGCCAGCAGCCGCGGUAAGACAGAGGAUGCAAGCGUUAUCCGGAAUGAUUGGGCGUAAAGCGUCUGUAGGUUGUUUAAAAAGUAUUCUGUCAAAGAUUAGGGCUUAACCCUAGAUAGGCAGAAUAAACUUUUAAGCUAGAGUUUGGUAGAGGCAGAGGGAAUUCCCGGUGGAGCGGUGAAAUGCGUAGAUAGCGGGAGGAACACCAAAGGCGAAGGCACUCUGCUGGGCCAAUACUAACACUGAGAGACGAAAGCGAGGGGAGCAAAUGGGAUUAGAAACCCUAGUAGUCC
rnacentral:rRNA from 1 species